GUGGCAUCCCAGGACGUGGUGGUCCGAAAACAGGAACAGCACCAGGGGGAGGCGGCAUUCCAGGGCGUGGGGGUGGUGGAGCAGGCAUUCCAGGGCGUGGUGGUGGUGGACCAGGAGGUCCUCUCAUCAUUGAUCCCGGAGGUGGAACCAUUGGCCUCUGACCAUAUUGUGGUGGUGGGACAGGGAAUUGUUGAGGUGGCCUUACUCCAAAAGCAGGUGGUGGUACCUGUGGAGGAGGACCACGUUGCAUCUGAGGAGCCUGUGGUUGACCAGGGUAACCACCAGGUGGCAUUUGUCCAG
rnacentral:lncRNA from 1 species